AAAUGAAUUGACGGGGGCCCGCACAAGCGGUGGAGCAUGUGGUUUAAUUCGAUGCAACGCGAAGAACCUUACCUGGUCUUGACAUCCACAGAACUUGGCAGAGAUGCCUUGGUGCCUUCGGGAACUGUGAGACAGGUGCUGCAUGGCUGUCGUCAGCUCGUGUUGUGAAAUGUUGGGUUAAGUCCCGCAACGAGCGCAACCCUUAUCCUUUGUUGCCAGCGGUCCGGCCGGGAACUCAAAGGAGACUGCCAGUGAUAAACUGGAGGAAGGUGGGGAUGACGUCAAGUCAUCAUGGCCCUUACGACCAGGGCUACACACGUGCUACAAUGGCAUAUACAAAGAGAAGCGACCUCGCGAGAGCAAGCGGACCUCAUAAAGUAUGUCGUAGUCCGGAUUGGAGUCUGCAACUCGACUCCAUGAAGUCGGAAUCGCUAGUAAUCGUGGAUCAGAAUGCCACGGUAAUACG
rnacentral:rRNA from 1 species